GGGGAGAAAGCAAAUUGGUUGCGUCAGAUUGUAGCUCUGAAGGUGAGAAAAGUUCUCUCUCUCUA
rnacentral:tRNA from 1 species